UACGUAGGGUGCGAGCGUUAAUCGGAAUUACUGGGCGUAAAGCGUGCGCAGGCGGUGCUGUAAGACCGAUGUGAGAUCCCCGGGCUUAACCUGGGAACUGCAUUGGUGACUGCAGCGCUGGAGUAUGGCAGAGGGGGGUAGAAUUCCACGUGUAGCAGUGAAAUGCGUAGAGAUGUGGAGGAAUACCGAUGGCGAAGGCAGCCCCCUGGGAUAACACUGACGCUCAUGCACGAAAGCGUGGGGAGCAAACAGGAUAGAGUACC
rnacentral:rRNA from 1 species